rnacentral:rRNA from 1 species
AUUGAACGCUGGCGGCAGGCCUAACACAUGCAAGUCGAGCGAGCGGCGGACGGGUGAGUAUUGUCUGGGAAACUGCCUGAUGGAGGGGGAUAACUACUGGAAACGGUAGCUAAUACCGCAUACCAUCAGAUGUGCCCAGAUGGGAUUAGCUAGUCGGUGGGGUAACGGCUCACCUAGACGACGAUCCCUAGCUGUUCUGAGAGGAUGACCAGGCACACGGGAACGGAGACACGGUCCAGACUCCUACGGGAGGCAGCAGUGGGGAAUAUGGCACAAUGGGCGAAAGCCUGAUGCAGACAUGCCGCGUGUGUGAAGAAGGACUUCGGGUUGUAAAGCACUUUCAGCGGGGAGGCGUUACCCGCAGAAGAAGCACCGGCUAACUCCGUGCCAGCCGCCGCGGUAAUAC